AGCGCAGGCGGAGAAGCAAGUCAGUGGUGAAAACGAUGGGCUUAACUCAUCGACUGCCAUUGAAACUGUUUCCCUUGAGUGAAGUAGAGGCAGGCGGAAUUCCGAGUGUAGCGGUGAAAUGCGUAGAUAUUCGGAGGAACACCAGUGGCGAAGGCGGCCUGCUGGGCUUUAACUGACGCUGAGGCUCGAAAGUGUGGGGGAGCAAACA
rnacentral:rRNA from 1 species